AAAUAAGAAGUCUGAUCAAAGCACAAAGCCAUGGGCAUCCUGCGGCAUGGGUUGGAGGCACUGAUAGUUGCAAGGAGGGAGUUUGGCGCUGGAGCGAUGGUUCCUGUUUCGACUUCACACAGUGGUGCAAGGGAGAGCCAAACAAUGGACUGGGGACCAAUCAGGACUGCCUGCAGAUAAAUUACAGCAGUAACAAGUGCUGGGAUGAUCUCUGGUGUGACCACUGUCUUCCCUCCGUCUGCUCCAGGAACAAGUAAAUCCUGGUCUGACCCUGAGACAUGAAGAGGCUGUGAAACACACAAACACAGAUCGAUGUGUGUUUGAAAAGUCAUCUCUCACGACGCCGUCUGUCUCAUGUGGAACCUGAGCGCUCUAAAUCUCUCUCUUCUCUCUUUUCUGUCGCUGUAACGCUUCAUAAGGAAAGAUGUGACAAGUGACACAAACAGGAGGUGGAUUGUCUCUGAGGCCUUGUGCCCUUAAUAAGAUCAGACUGAAUGUGGAAUGGAAAGAACGCUUUCAGCACAACUUUAUUCUUUGGUUUGAACUCUUCUUUCUAAUCUGAAUGCAAAAUUAAAAGCUUCAAGCAUUGAAAAAACGUC